UGGCAAUGAGGAUGAUAUUUUAAAAUGAAUUUGUGAUUGGUUUUAUACGCUAUUCUGAGCCACAU